UUUAUCGGCCAUAAAAGGCGUAUGUACAUACAUACAAUGGUAGUUUGCAUUGCAACAACCAGCAGGCAAGAUGUGUGUAAGAAAAUCAGUCACACGUGGUAUUGGUUGCCCACUAUUGAUUUUGUAAGGAAGUGAGAGUUAAAGUUCGAGAGAUGGGAAAAUAUAUGGAAUUGUUCGCUAUGGCGGUAAAUUGCUCGCGUCGCUUGCGAUAAAUGGGAUCUUUGAAACCUGGAUGAUCAGCAUCCAGCUCGGAACCGUACAUUAGCACAUUUUGUGCCUUAUCCAGGUCGGAAAUUUUGCGCGGAAACCAAACCAUAUCGCCAAAAUCUGGCAACGGUUAAACAUUUAUUAAUUUUUAA